UGAAGCGGUAACAGCUCAAAUUUGAAAGCUAGCUCUUUUAGGGUUCGCAUUGUAAUUUGUAGAAGAUGCUUCGGGUGUGGCCCCGGUCUAAGUUCCUUGGAACAGGACGUCAUAGAGGGUGAGAAUCCCGUAUGUGACUGGGUGCUUUCGCUCAUGUGAAGCUCUUUCGACGAGUCGAGUUGUUUGGGAAUGCAGCUCAAAAUGGGUGGUAAAUUUCAUCUAAAGCUAAAUAUUGGCCAGAGACCGAUAGCGCACAAGUAGAGUGAUCGAAAGAUGAAAAGCACUUUGGAAAGAGAGUUAAACAGUACGUGAAAUUGUUGAAAGGGAAGCGCUUGCAACCAGACUUGCGCGCUGAUGAUCAUCCGGGCUUCUGUCCGGUGCACUCGUCUGCGCUCAGGCCAGCAUCGGUUUCGGUGGUGGGAUAAAGGCCUUGGGAAUGUAGCUCCUCUCGGGGAGUGUUAUAGCCCUCGGUGCAAUGCCGCCUAUCGGGACCGAGGACCGCGCUUCGGCUAGGAUGCUGGCGUAAUGGUUGUAAGCGACCCGUCUUGAAACACGGACCAAGGAGUCUAACAUCUAUGCGAGUGUUUGGGUGUCAAACCCAUACGCGUAAUGAAAGUGAACGGAGGUGAGAACCCUUAAGGGUGCAUCAUCGACCGGUCCUGAUGUCUUCGGAUGGAUCUGAGUAAGAGCAUAGCUGUUGGGACCCGAAAGAUGGUGAACUAUGCGUGAAUAGGGUGAAGCCAGAGGAAACUCUGGUGGAGGCUCGCAGCGGUUCUGACGUGCAAAUCGAUCGUC
rnacentral:rRNA from 1 species